rnacentral:rRNA from 1 species
AAAAACAUCGCCUCUUGAAUUAAUAUAAGAGGUCCAGCCUGCCCAGUGACCCUGUUCAACGGCCGCGGUAUCCUAACCGUGCGAAGGUAGCGUAAUCACUUGUUCUCUAAAUGUGGACUAGUAUGAAUGGCAUCACGAAGGUUAUACUGUCUCCUUUUUCUAAUCAGUGAAACUAAUCUCCCCGUGAAGAAGCGGGGAUAAUACUAUAAGACGAGAAGACCCUAUGGAGCUUUAAACAGUACAGCAUCUGCCCCAUAACACUAAAAUUUCUGAAUAAAAACUUCAUUGGACAGUAUGACUGCGAGUUUUUGGUUGGGGUGACCACGGAGCACAAUACAACCUCCAUGCUGAAAGAAAAUUUCUAAGCCAAGGUCUACAAACCUAAGCAUCAACACAUUGACAUCCAUUGACCCAAUACACUUGAACAACGAACCAAGUUACCCUAGGGAUAACAGCGCAAUCCACUUCAAAAGCUCCUAUCGACAAGUGGGUUUACGACCUCGAUGUUGGAUCAGGGUCUCCCAGUGGUGCAGCCGCUACUAAAGGUUCGUUUGUUCAACGAUUAAAACCCUACGUGAUC